UACAGAGGUCCCAAGCGUUGUUCGGAUUCACUGGGCGUAAAGGGUGCGUAGGUGGUGAGGUAAGUCGGAUGUGAAAUCUCCGAGCUCAACUCGGAAAUGGCAUUGGAAACUACCUUGCUCGAGGGUUGGAGGGGGGGACUGGAAUGCUUGGUGUAGCAGUGAAAUGCGUAGAUAUCAAGCGGAACACCAGUGGCGAAGGCGAGUCCCUGGACAUUUCCUGACGCUGAGGCACGAAAGCCAGGGGAGCAAACGGG
rnacentral:rRNA from 1 species